rnacentral:lncRNA from 1 species
AUGGGGACAUGGGCACACCUCGGGGACACCUUGGGGACAUUGGGGACACCUUGGGGACACCUUGGGGUCAUCACAGGAACAUCACAGGGACAGCUCGGGGAUGUGGGGACAUCAGGAACAUCACAGGAACAUCAGAGGAACACCAUGGGGACAUGGGCACACCUCGGGGACACCUUGGGGACAUCAGGGACACCUCGGGGACACCUUGGGGACAUCACAGGAACAUCACAGGGACACCAUGGGGACAUGGGCACACCUCGGGGACACCUUGGGGACAUGAGGGACACCUUGGGGACAUCGGGGACACCUUGGGGACAUCGGGGACACCUUGGGGACAUCACAGGAACAUCACAGGGACAGCUCGGGGAUGUGGGGACAUCAGGAACAUCAGAGGAACAUCAGAGGAACAUCACAAGAACAUCAGAGGAACAGCUCGGGGAUGUGGGGACAUCAGGAACAUCACAGGAACAUCACAGGAACACCAUGGGGACAUCGGAGACACCUCGGGGACAUCGGGGACACCUUGGGGACAUCGUGGAGACAUCACAGGAACAUCACAGGGACAGCUCGGGGAUGUGGGGACAUCAGGAACAUCACAGGAACAUCACAGGAACACCAUGGGGACAUGGGCACACCUCGGGGACACCUUGGGGACAUGAGGGACACCUUGGGGACAUCGGGGACACCUUGGGGACAUCGGGGACACCUUGGGGACAUCACAGGAACAUCACAGGGACAGCUCGGGGAUGUGGGGACAUCAGGAACAUCAGAGGAACAUCAGAGGAACAUCACAAGAACAUCAGAGGAACACGGGGACACCAUGGGGACAUCACAAGAACAUCAGAGGAACAUUGGGGACACCUUGGGGACAUCAGGGACACCUUGGGGACAUCGUGGAGACAUCACAAGGACAUCACAGGGCCACCUCGGGGACAUGGGGACAUCAGGAACAUCAGAGGAACAUCAGAGGAACAUCACAAGAACAUAACAAGAACAUGGGGACACCAUGGGGACAUCACAAGAACAUCAGAGGAACACUGGGGACACCUUGGGGAUAUCAGGGACACCUUGGGGACAUCUGGGACACCUUGGGGACAUCGCAAGAACAUCACAGGAACACCUCGGGGACAUGGGGACAUCAGGAACAUCACAAGAACAUCACAGGAACACCUUGGGGACACUGGGGACACCUUGGGGACAUCACAAGAACAUCACAGGGACACGGGGACACCUUGGGGACGCCCCACGGGGUGGGACAAGGAACACGGUGAUGGGUGCCAGGGCCACCAGGGCCACCUCGGUGCCACCUUGGUGCCACCAGGGCCACCUCGGUGCCACCAGGGCCACAAAGGGGAUGCGGAUUUGGGGUCAGAACCAAUA